GCUUGUCUCAAAGAUUAAGCCAUGCAUGUCUUAGUGUAAAUAACUCUUAUGAAACUGCGAAUGGCUCAUUAAAUCAGUUAUCAAAUACGUGAUGGUCGCCUACUACAUGGAUAACCGUAGUAAUUCUAGAGCUAAUACAUGCAUCAAUCCUCUAUUUGAGGUGUAUUUAUUAGAUUGUAACCAAAGCGGGGUAACCCGGUAUAUGGUGAUUCAUAAUAACUUUCGGAUCGAUUUUAAUCGAUGCAUCAUUCAAGUUUCUGCCCUAUCAGCUUUGGAUGGUAGGGUAUUGGCCUACCAUGGCUUUAACGGGUAACGGAGAAUUAGGGUUCGAUUCCGGAGAGGGAGCCUGAGAAAUGGCUACCACAUCCAAGGAAGGCAGCAGG
rnacentral:rRNA from 1 species